rnacentral:rRNA from 1 species
AUACGGAGGAUCCGAGCGUUAUCCGGAUUUAUUGGGUUUAAAGGGUGCGCAGGCGGCCAUUUAAGUCAGCGGUUAAAUCGUGGGGCUCAACCCCAUUCUGCCGUUGAUACUGGGUGGCUUGAUUGCGGUCGAGGUUGGCGGAAUUCGUUGUGUAGCGGUGAAAUGCAUAGAUAUGACGAAGAACACCGAUUGCGUAGGCAGCUGACCAGACCGCAAAUGACGCUCAUGCUCGAAAGUGCGGGGAUCGAACAGGAUUAGAUACCCUGGUAGUCCGCACAGUAAACGAUGAAUACUUGUUUUCGGCGAUAUAAUGUCGGAGGCAAAGCGAAAGCGAUAAGUAGUCCCCCUGGGGAGUACGCCGGCAACGGUGAAACUCAAAGGAAUUGACGGGG